rnacentral:lncRNA from 1 species
CUCCGCCGCGCUCUCUCCGUCGCCGCCCCCUGGCUCCCCCGCGGCCGGCCGCCUGCUGCUGCCGCGCGUGCCCCUCACCGGCCCGGCGGCGUCCCUGCCACGACCGCGUCGAACCCAGGGCGUCGGAUGGCGCGUGCGCCCCGGGGCUGGGGCCCGGGCUGGGGCCCGGGCUGGGGCAGGGGCGCAUCCCCGGCCGCAUGCCGGCCACUUCUCGGCGCGCUGGUGGCCGUGCUGCUGGCGCUGGCCACGGUGCUGGGCCACGAGCUGGUCGUGGAGGCCUUCGCCGUGGACCGCAGCCUGCGCUCCCGCGGCAACUUCAACUUGGCCGUCGCCGACCUGCUGGUGGAUAUUUUUAUACCCAGGAAUAAUGAUAGCUGAUAUUCGAGGGCUUCUUUCAAGUCAGACACUGCUGUAAGAACUUGACAGGAAUUAUAUCCAAUGUCUUACUACGAACACUACCCUGUGGUCUAGGUAAAAGUGUCCCAUUUUAACAUGAAGAAACAGGCACACAGAGGUUAAUUACGUUGCCUAAGAUGAACAACUAGCCAAGUGCUAGUGGGUGUUUACCUGACGCCAGACAGAGCCUCUGCUCUUAGUCACUGUGACAUAGUGCUACCUACAGGGACAGUGUAGUGUGGACUGCGUUGGUCAAGAGUAAAAAUACUGAAUGAGCACAUAAAGUUAAAGGACGUACUUAAAGUUGGAAGAGGAAGCACAGUGAAACACAGUGCUGUUGACUGGAUUAUGAAUACAGUGUGUGUAUGUUCCCAGAGGCACUGAAGAUGUAUGCUUUCAUACAUGAAGGAAUACCACUAGCAUCCAAAGGGACGGACCUUUAGCUGUCUCCACAUGGGGGAAGCUCUUCACUCAUUGUGAGGCUACUUGGAGCAGCGUGGUGCAGCUGGGGAAGAGUGGUCUGAUGUGGAAACAGAACUCGCCCAGCCCCCAGACACUGGCUAUCUUAACUAAUAACUUGACCUCACUGUUAGCACCAUGCUGUACCAGCCUCAGUGAGUGAGGCUACCUCAACUGCCCCUCUUACUGGCCUCUGCUGUUUCCCUCUAGGUGACUCACAGGGCUCAGAAGGGCAUGACAGGGCAUACUGUUUUCAAGAUGGCGCUGGUGGAGGUGGCAGUGUUCCUCUCUGGGCCUGCCAUCAUUAGCUGGCAGUAGGUAGCCAAAAGGAGCAUUCUGCCUCAGGGGGAGAGCUACACUGAGUUCU